CCUGUAGCUUUGGUCAACGGUUACAGAGAAGACGGUUUCAGUCGGGGAGGGGUGGUGGUGACUACCGCGCCCGUUGUGGAGUUUGCAUUAGCAGAAGGGCCACAGCCAUCGCCCCUCUCCCAUCUCCAAGAUGGCGGAGGCAGCUUCAAACUCACCUCUCGCGAGGAGUUCUUCCCACCGUCUCCGAGUAGCCUCUGAGGUCAGAGUGAACAUCCACUGGGCAUCCGCUGUGGGCCAGACACUGGAGGAAGUGCUCGGUCAACAAGCAAAGUAAAUGAAGGACUUACUACCUGCUCUUGAUGUUGCUGGCAGAUGGCAAAGAAUGGCAAGUGAUGGUGUUGGCAAAUAAGCUUCAGUGUUGACUGCCUGUGACACAUAGCAAACUCGCCAGAAAGGCAAUACCAAAAAAAAAAAAAAUCUGUUUUGCUCAUCACCAUGUGAUAAAUAGUCAAAUAUGAAUGAAACAGAAUUGGGGAAUGUAGAAGUAAGAGGGAAAGAAGAAAAAGACCUGGAAAACUCUCUGUACCAUCCCCCCAAAAGAAGGCAGUAAUGGGGCAAGAUGGAUAGCCAGAAUAAAGGUU